UAUUGUCUGAAGCCUUGCUGGUCAGCAGUUCCUUGUGGGGCGCCAUUUCUGCCACACCUGGUAAGCCCGUGGCCUGCGCUGAGUGACACCUUGCUAGAAAUAAUAACUUCAGUUUUUGUGGAAUGCUAACUCAGUGGGAGAUGGGUACAAGUGUGCAUUUCAGUGUAUUAGGCUGUUUGUCUCAUGUGGGUCUGCUGCCAAAGAUGGAGGAACAGCGCUGUGGCACCUGUGCCAGGCGGGUGGGGCAGCUCCUGAGGUAACUGCCCCGAAAUGGCCGGCACGUGCCUGCAGAGGGUGUGGGCCUGCUCCUCUGAGCUGCGUUUUGCCAGAGGGCAUCUCAAUGUUUUUGCAAGAAGUAAGGUCUGGAGAUGCUUCUUUUUACUCAUGGUCUUUGGUUUGGUGAUUCAUCGAUUCUUCAGCGUGUGGAAUCUCUUGGGUUUUGGUGAAAUUUUGAUUCCAAGCCAGAGAACCACAAAAUAUCCUUCAAGCUUAUGAAGAAUGAAUCUCAGCCAAGUGUGAAUACCUUGAAGAAGUGAUGUCUUGCUCUGCAGAUAAGCAAAAUGGUUUUACACAUUCAGAAGCAAAGUAACUCCUAUCACAGUCAUCAAGUCAUCAACCCAUUUUUCUGGCAAAAUUUACUGUGAUAUAUCACUGCAGUGGAGCUCAAUUUAAUAUAAGGACUGAAGUUUAGUAAGCUUUACUUUUGAACUGCAUAGAAUUUGAUGUACUGCUUGUAAAUCCCUUAAAAUAUAUUGAAUUAACUUCUCAUGAAUAUAUAUAUAUAAUUAUUGUAAUGGACCUAAUGGAAAAUUAUUCACACCCUGUGUUUUCAUUAUGUGGAAAAGUAAGCCAAGGUGUAAGUUUUGUCAUACUAUAUCUGAAUUACUUCAUGCAUUACCACCUCCAAGUUUACUGGCAGGGCUUUUAUGGCCAAAGUGGCUGCAGCUUUUAACAGUUUAACAUGCAAGCAUCUGGGUGCAGGGAAGGAAAAAGCUUUGCAUGAUUUGGUGUGGUGGGGUUCAAUCUUUCUGACUUUCUGACAAGUGCAAAUUGACUUUGUAAUGGUAAUUCUUCUUGCUGAAAGUAAUAACAAUUAAACCAAUUGUGGAAUUCCUGUAAAACUGCUGG